AACAGCAGAGAUUAUUACUAUUAAUAUUGUUAUAAUUUAUAUAUUACGUGUUUAUGGUUUUAUUAUUGUGUUUCUUCAGAUCUUCAGUAAGUUCGGCUCCGUGUUGAAAAUCAUCACGUUCACCAGAAACAAUCAGUUUCAGGCUCUGCUGCAGUUCAUUGACACCGUGCACGCUCAUCACGCCAAGGCUUCUCUGGACGGUCAGAACAUCUAUAACGGCUGCUGCACGCUGAGGAUCGACUUCUCCAAACUGAGCGCGCUCAACGUGAAGUACAACAACGACAAGAGCCGAGACUUCACCAGAGCCGACCUCCCGUCAGGAGAGCUGGACCCCGCCGCCGGCUUCGGUGUACCUCUCCCUCCAUACGGAGCAGCAGCUUUCCAGCCGACCUUCCAUCAACACACAGGUCUGUCCCUGUCCGUCCCCGGUCCGUUGUUGUCUCCUCCUCGUGUCUCCCUGCAGGUGGCGCCUCCUGCUGGUCACUCUGUGCUGCUGGUGUCCAACCUGAACCCAGAGAGCAUCUCUCCUCACAGCCUCUUCAUCCUGUUUGGUG